rnacentral:sRNA from 1 species
GGAGAAAGAACUUUUGCAAAAAGCACUUAAAAGCACUUCAUCACCAAGGGCGGCGUCGUCGUCAUAUCCAGCGAUCACUUUAAAUUUGAAUAAGAAACCAGGGUAUAGCGCUUCUAAGGCAUCUGAGGCAUCUGGCAACAAAAAAAUGAAAGCGAUCCGGAGACCAGAUGAAGCAGCAGCGCAGCUGGGGGGGGGAUUUAUUUAGAGCCAAGAGCUUACUCUUUCACUCGUUCCAUAAAGAGGCAUCCUUCUGCGGAUACAUGUGUCUAUCGCUGCCAUGUAUGUCGAAAAAAG